rnacentral:rRNA from 1 species
AUGGAAAAGAAAAAACAAUGCAUUAACCAAAUACGUGAUGCACUUGCUACUGAAAAUUACAACGAGUGCACAUCAAUUAAGCUAAAGAAUUUGCAAAGAAUGCCUACCACAAGGGACAGAAUCUUCACUGAACUGAAAUUGCUCUUUACAAUGGUGUUUCAACUAAUACCACUAUUUUCUAUGUACUAUAAGUUCUUAAUUCUUUUAUUUUACAAUAGAGAGGAUUUUUUGGUCUAUUGGUACAUAUGCUUUAUGUCUUCCAGAUUCCACCAAGAUUAUGAUAGGACUUGGAGUUACAGGUAA